rnacentral:rRNA from 1 species
AGUGAACGCUGGCGGUAGGCCUAACACAUGCAAGUCGAACGGCAGCACAGUAAGAGCUUGCUCUUACGGGUGGCGAGUGGCGGACGGGUGAGGAAUACAUCGGAAUCUACUUUUUCGUGGGGGAUAACGUAGGGAAACUUACGCUAAUACCGCAUACGUCCUACGGGUGAAAGCAGGGGAUCUUCGGACCUUGCGCGAUUGAAUGAGCCGAUGUCGGAUUAGCUAGUUGGCGGGGUAAAGGCCCACCAAGGCGACGAUCCGUAGCUGGUCUGAGAGGAUGAUCAGCCACACUGGAACUGAGACACGGUCCAGACUCCUACGGGAGGCAGCAGUGGGGAAUAUUGGACAAUGGGCGCAAGCCUGAUCCAGCCAUACCGCGUGGGUGAAGAAGGCCUUCGGGUUGUAAAGCCCUUUUGUUGGGAAAGAAAAGCAGCAGGUUAAUACCCCGCUGUUCUGACGGGACCCAAAGAAUAAGCACCGGCUAACUUCGG